CGUGCUAAGUUAAUUUUUUAACAAGUAUGAAAAUGACUGAUCUAGUAUUGUUUCUGUAUUGCAAUUGAAAAAUGAAAUAAAUUAUUCUGUGUAUAUAAUGUAUUUGAUAAAAUAAGACCUGAACAUCGUCUUAAACACGUAUUCAGUUAAGCUACAUUUGCUAUGUACUUGUUAAACAAAGUUAAAUAUAUUUUGAACCACAAAUCAACAGCAACAGCUUACAUUGUUCACUAGAAUAGAAUAUACAUUUCUUUUAUUGUCCCACAAUGGGGAAAUUCACUAUAUCUGAAAUAUUGUACGGCUUUGGGGCAGUACUGGCACAUUGUCUUAACACAGACUGUCACAGUUGUAGGAUGUGGUAAGGCUCUUGAAGUGUGGACUCCAGCUGCAGUGAGUGUUUUAUAAAACUCCCAGAAACCCUUAAAUGGAUUCACUUUACAAUCUUGAGGCUGCUGUUCUUCCUGUUGCUUGUGCACAUUUUUCUGCCACAGUGUUUCCCUCCAUUCAACAUCCCGUUAAUAUGCAUUGAUACAAAACUAUGAAACAGUCAGCUUCUUUAAAAUCCUAGUAUGGUGUUGGGGAAUAUUUUAAUGCUCUGAGAAACUGAAUUUUGAGUUCUACUUAGCUGUUAGCCAAAAUCAUCAAAAUGAACAAUAAACCAUGCAACUUUCAAUGCAUUUCCUGCCUUUUUCCUUUGCUUUAUUAUACAAGACAGUUCUCUGAAGGAGCAUCAUCUUACCACUCAUGCGCCGUUUUGUGAUUGGCUGAACCUGCCUCCUCUCAGCUGCCAUGCAAUGAAGACCUCAGCGCACACCUAGCUCACACCCAGGCGUGUAACCAUGUUCAGACUGCAGUGUGUGAGGCCCUGCCUUACAAGACUCCUCCAUCAGGCGGUGGGAAGUAGAGACUAUGUCCUGGAGGGGCUGCAGGUUUGCUCCGCUGACGUUCAAGUGCUUGAUGUGGUGGGGAAGAACAGAACCAAGCUGACUGUGGAACAUGUGAGCUGUGCUGUGAGGAUGCUGUGGGAUUUUCAGAAGGAGAGACCUGAGCUGCUCAGGACUGUCCACCUCAUCAAGUGCCACCCGCAGUUCCUGACCCUGCGGGUUUUGGCAGAGAAUAAAAUUUCUCUGAUGGAUGACUCAACACUGGUCGACAUGCUUUAUGCGUUCCUCAGGCUGAAUGUGGAACCACAUGACAGUCUUGUGCAACAGAUGGUUUCAGAAGCUUGGCGAAGAGUAGACAGACUUUCUAUGCCAUCUCUGUCAAAGUUUGCAGUGAUUUUAAAUGAUCAGCUCCUCCAUAGCAGUCCUCUGAUGGGUCACAUCACCAACAUUUUGGACCAGAAGUUAUCAUCCAUAGACAAUGGCAGGGUCCUGGCGGCGCUGAUGGUCAGCGUGUCGAACCUCGUGUCCACGCGGCUGCGGGACGCUCUAAUCAGCAGAGCUGAAUGUCUACUGGACACAGUCGAUCCCCUGAAUUACAACACUCCAAGAAGGAUGGUGCAGUUUCUACGCAGCAUCAAGUACAUUCACCGACCCCUGUUGGAGAAGUGCAAUGAGAUUUUCAUGCGCAACAUUCCCAGACUGGAUGCUGAGAACAUCAGUAUCAUCUUGGGUCUAUAUCAGUCCCUUCAGUUCAACAACUGUGACUUCAGACUGGCAGCUAAAGAAAGGCUGAUUGAGCUGAUCGACACAAGCACAGACCCAUACUCCUUCUCUAAACUUUUUGUCGCUCUGGCACCGAUUAGCAGCGCAGAGAUCAGAGAAAGGUUGGAGAACACCAUCCUCCUGGUGGCAGAUGAAUUCAGCGCUCACCAAGCUUUGGCUGUCGUUGAAGCCCUGGAGGAGAUUCAGAGCAGAAACUUUAGUUUACUGAACAAAAUUGCAUCAGUGAUCCAGAAGAAGCUCCAUAUCUACAGAUCGAUGGAGGUGGCCCGGCUCACCCAGGCCCUGUUCCUGUUGCAUUAUCAGAACCCAGAACUCUUUGCUGCCCUCAGAACCAUUUUGGUCAGCUUUUUGCAGCGCAGCUUCUACCCCUAUGAGGUGACCAUGCUGACCAGGGUGCUCUCCAUGCUGCCCAGCCCACGCCUUGACGAGGACGUGGUCUGGCAUGUGGACGAAGUGAUAGCGCAGUGCAACCUCAGCGAGCUCAACACCAUCUCCUUUGCCAUUGCCAAGUGGAUACGGACUGAUCCGUCUUACCGACACAACACCCACAGCAAGUACGUCCGCCUGCUGCAGCGGCUGAGCCAAUGUGGCCGCGAGAGGCUGCAGACGGCCAACCGGCUGGACCUGGUGCUGGACGAGACCAAAUUCGCCCCAGGAGAGUGGUUCGAGGAGAUGCUGCUGGAAGAGACGUUCGUCACGCUGAACAGGAUGAUCGAUCAGAUAAACUCGAGCAACAUUGCUGACUUGGCCUUCUUCCUGACCAGAACCAAUCGACUUCAUCCUUCACUGAUGGACAGAAUUGCCAGUGUGGCCAUAGAACACAUUGACGAGAUUCACUUCUCAGCCACAUACCCCACUCUUCUACCAUUUUCUGUCCUGAAUUAUGAGCCUGCUCAUGUAGAUGAGCUUUAUGAUGCUUGUAUUAAGCGCUUCACUCCUCACAUUAGCUCCUUUGACCCUCAUCUGCUUGUCCUCCUGGCAUAUUGCUUGGCUCUAGCUGACCAUUUUCCCGAAGAACUAAUCAGAGAAAUCUUCAGCAUUGAUUUUCUUGGAAAACUGGACUGCCAGCUGGAAAGCCUGAAUGAUUCCCUCAAGAUGAGGACGAAACAGCGCCUCAUGGAGCUCAAUCGGGCCGUGUGUCUGGAAAGUCCAGAGUUUCAGGUGCCGUGGUUUCACGAGCGUUACUGCCAGCAUCUGCAAAAGAAAGUGAAUGGCUCCGUCAGUCCAGUGCAGCAGCAGAUCCACGCAAUGUUGGGCGGGGUUCUUGGUGGCAUUAACUUUGUCCAAGCAGCCGUCAUCACACCGUAUUUUUACACCAUACCAUCGCUAUCGACUUCAUGGAUUCCAAGUCUUUCUGCAAAAACUCUCAUCAUAUGAAAGGGGAAGCCUUAAUGAAAAGGCGACACCUUGAGAUUCUGGGAUAUCGUGUUGUUCAGAUUCCUCACUUUGAAUGGAACUCCAUGGAGCUUUCUACACCCCAUGCAUGGAAGAGGUAUCUCAGAAAGAAAAUCUUGGGAUAAAUUUCUUCCUGAAGCCUUAUUUAUGUAAUAAUGACACUUAACAACUUUUGUAAAGGUCGGAGCAGAUUAUUUGAACAAAAAGUGUCACUAUAGAAAGAGCUCUAUGUUUUUAUGUAAAUGUGUCUGGCUGGCAUGAAUCUACCUCAUUCAUGUUGAGUGACAGUAAAUUAUUUGAAUUAUGUGCUUUUGUAUUAAAUAACCUUUAAAAAAUGUAA